CACCAAUUCCACUCUUAAGCAUAUAUCCAAAAGAUGCAAAUUCAUACAACAAGGACAUCUGUUCCUCUAUGUUCAUAGCAGCAUUAUGUGUCAUAGCCAGAACCUGGAAACAGGACCCCACCCAGCUAAUCCUGCAAAUUGUGAGAAGAAAAGAAAGGCCUUGUCCCUAAAGAGCAACAACAAAUCAGAGAUUAUGUCAAUACACUUCAUGAUGGGUCCUGGUUUCAGGUUUCAUGCUAAGCAGGCAGCAGAACUUGGCAACUUUGGUCAUGUGGUUCUGGCCUUCCGAGUCAUGAAAGAAAUUAGAGUAAAUUGGUUGUGGAAUCAUCCACUGUGGAUGAGGAAAGCUGCUGAGGCCAGGCAUGUGUCAGGGGUGUCCCUGCAUGGAAGCUGAGAGAGGCUAUUAUGUUCAAUCCUCGAUUUUAUUGGAGACCUCUAGAUGUUGGAUGUGCCAGAGCCAUGGGAUACCUGCCAAGGAAAGCUGCUAACAGAUAGUGGAAGCAGUCCACAAGAAUAGAGCCUGUUGCCUCCAACAGAGCUGAAGGGAGCAGGAGAGCUGAAGAGCCCUUUGAUGUUAGACAUGAGAUGCAGAGUUUGGAGUUCAUCAAGCUUGGGUUUUGCUUUGGUUCAGUUUUUCUUCCCUAUGCCCUCUUUUCUCCCUUUUUGAAUGGAAAUGUGUAUGCUAUGUCAUUGUAUGUUGAAAAAUGUAAUUUGAGUUUUGUUUUUAUAUGAGGUUACAAGUAAGAGAUUGCCUUGUGUUUCUGAAGAGAUUUUGGACUUUGAAAUAUCAUUGAGACUGUGAAAGGCCAUGGGGACUUUCCACGUUUGACUAAGUGAAUCUUGCUUUAUGAUAUCGCCACAAGCCUAUGGAGGGGCAGAGAAUGGAAUGUGGUCGUUUCAACAAACCUCCAUAGGCUUACAUAUUUGACUGCUUGGUCCUGAGUCAUUGGAACUGUUUGGGGGGAUGAGGAGUUGUGACUUUUGUAGGAGGUGUGUCACUGGAGGUGGCUUGGAGGUUUCAAAAACCCACACAACAUGGACAGGCCUCUCUCUGAGGAUAGGGGAGGAACAGAGAAUGGAGAACACUCUAUUUCUGACAGAGUGUGCAGGUUAGAUUGGAAACAGAAACACGAAGUGCUGUGUGGAGAACCUGUGAAUGCUGGAGGAUGGGGAGAGAGCAUUUUGUCACCUCUUCCCACAACCCCUCACCCACACAGGGGAGCCCUUUGUGACAGAGAGAGACAGGAGCUCUGUGAUGUAGGCCUGGGUCCAGCUGCCAACUCCCAGAGAGACCUCUCAGAGUUCAGUUGCCAGAGAUUCAGAUGGAGAGUUUUCUCUCUCAUCUGGAAAGUGUGGAUACUUCAUGGCUGACCCCCAGCUUCACCAGUUGGGCAAUGGAGAUGAAAUCUGACUUUGCAUAGGCCGGCACACUUCUACCUAUUGUGACCUCUCCUCCACCUUAGCUCACCCUCAUCUUCACCAUGGGAAAUUCACACCACCUCCCAAAAGGUAGAGAAGGGAGAGCCUGCCAAGGUCAGGAAGAAAACCAGGACUGUGAAAGCUUACAGAGGCAGGAGAAGGAGGACAAGCUGCUGGUUUCACUUCUCCACAGGAUACUAGAGAGGCUUGUCAUUGCCAUCAGCUUUGACUAACUCUUAGGAAAAGAUACCUUAGGUGAAGCAUCCAAACCAGAAGCUGCCAAAGCCCACCUGCCACUAGGGAGCCCAGGGAAGUGUCUGAGGCCACCAAUUUGUUCCUAUGCACUUUCUCCACUCCUCUUGAGGAACACCUGCUGACUAAAGAUUCUAAAAUCUUGUCACAUGUCUUACUGGAUACCCCAGCUUCUACUGAGUCACAGUCCUCUGUGAGUGUCUCUCAGUCACCAGAGACCUUGACUCCUGGAAGACACCAUUCAACACCAACACCAUCAGGGCUGCCUUCUCAUCCCCCUCACCUUCUGAUACUGUGGCUUGCACUCCAACCAUGCUGAUCCUAGCAUGAUGGCUUCUCAGUGUGACUGAGGAUUUCACAGCACUCAUCUCUGCCAGCAUAGGAUCACAAAAUGAGAGGCAGGAGCCCCAACUCUCUAUGAAGAAACAACAGGAACCCCUUGGAUGCUGGAGGGAGAGGACCCCCAAGUCCCCUCAGUGGUGAGUGCUACAUUUUUUUAAGUUUAUAAUUUUAAUUCCUCUAAUUGCAUUUCAAAAACAUUACACUAAGGCCAUCUUUAUGAAUGUGUCUUACAAUAGAUAUUUGUCUGAGAGGACACUGAAACCUUAGAGAAGGAGAGAGGACUAUGGCAUUUGAGGAAGAUCAGGGGGAACCUAGGUUCCUUUCACAGUCCUCAAGCUGUGGUCUUGCACUCAUGUUCUGUGUAGUUCUUGGUGAUUCAAGCUUUUUUCUGAAAAUGUUAGAAAACUAAGUGAUGGUCAGAUGUUAACAGAGUCAUGAGACAUGAUAGGGCUGCAACCCAUUUAAGCAGAAGUGCUGACAGAAAAUCUGGUGAUUGCCAAAGAAUUUUCAAACUUGGGGUAAUUUCAUUUUUAUGACUCAGGCUAUUACUUGGACUUGCCAAUAGCUCUUUAAACAAUUGAUAUCUGGUGAAGUCCAUUUUUAAUAUAUCAAACUAAGAAAAUAUCUUAGAUUUCCAGUAUAGUUUAGGGAACAUUUAAAGAUUCCUUAUAUGUGGAGAGUAAUCUGGAAAUAUCUAGUAUGUGCAAAGUCUCUUUGCAAAUCCUUUUGCUUUUCUACUGAAUGCCUACUUCAAGGUUUUUAUCCCUUGGGCAUUUUCCACAUGAACAACGAACUAGAUUUAUAAUGGGAUUUGUGGUGCUGACAUAACAGUUAACAACUGCCUUUCUUCUGUGGCAUCAUCACUCUUUAGAAGAUAAUGUGUAUCUUAGAGAAACUAAGACUCUCUCCAGGUGGCAAUGUGGAAAACUUUCUAGGACACAUUAGGAAACAACACUUGUAGAAGUAUUCAAUUGCAAUAUUCCAUAGUACAGUAUAGUCCAUAAAGGAUGCUAAAUAUACAUGUUUAAAGGAAAACAUAUAAAGGUAAACUGUAUAGGCAUUUACAGAAAAAUGCUCUAAAAUAACAUGAUAGAAAAUGCUAAUAAGAAUUGUCUGUGGAGACCAAGGCAAGAAGAGGGCGACCAUCGAUAAUGAAAUGCAUAGUGAAACCAUUUCAAUUUAUGGUUUAUUUUAACUAUACAAAUGUUACUGUUCAAAAAUAAAAUGUAAAAUUUGAUGUUGAAUUUUAACAUUCUUCACUUUUGCCAUCUUAACAAAGGAAUGUGCCAUUCUCUCUGGUCAACUGAUAGUAAGCACAAUGACCCCAUCAGGCUUGUAAAUACUUUGGUUUAGUGAAGAAAAGACCCACAGGACAAACAUACAAUCUGAAGGUGUUAGACAUUAGGAAUAUUCACAAAAUCUUCUGAUAUUUCCUUCCGUAUUUGUGGCAAUUGUUCUGCACAUUAAUAGAGAAAACCAUGUAACUUUAUCUGUCUAAUGAAAUAUAAGAUGAAGUGUUUCAUCACUUCUGGGCAAAGAUAUAUAUAUAUAUCACAAAUACUGGAAUCUUUUAUUAUUUUUGAUGUCCACCCUGAAAAAUUCUUCCAUCACCAAACUGGUCCUUCAAUUAUCUUAGAAUAAUAUAAUUUCCUGUGGCUCAUUACAUAUGUUUCAUUUGCUGAGUGCCAACUACUCUGACCCGAGAAGACAGUUCUUUGACCUGAAAUCAACGCUGUUUACCCUGUAAUGGAAUGUACAUGUUUAUUGUUAUUGUGACUUGACUUCAACAAUCAUUUAAAUUCUUCUCUAAAAGAUUCCAAAUUUCAUGUAUUCAGCUUGAACUCCAAAGGAAUGGAUAGUGGACAUUUGUGCCCUAGAUCCUUAUCAUUUUUGAGUGGUAAUGUACUGAGAAACCGUCUCACAGUAAUAAGUCCCUUCAGUCCUGGAAGUCUGAAAAUCUAGAACCUAUCUCUCCAGCGCCCAACACACACACAGACAAAGAAAAAUCUAAAGAUUCCUUGUCUACUCUGAGUCACGUGGUCCUGCCUAAUCAAACUCUUAAUACCUUGACCCACCACUCAAACAAAUCUUCCAUCUAAUAGCUACAAAUUAUUAUUGAAGUCAUCAUUCUCUUGGAAAUAGUAAAAAUGAAAAAUCUAAAAUAUCUAGUACUUUUAUAUGGUAUUAUUUUGUAAUAUUUUUUAAAUGAAAAAGAAAGAAGAGUCAUCUGCUUACCAAGAUAACCAGAGUAAGGAAUUUAAGCCUCAUUCUUCAGAGAAUGUUGAAUUAUUGACCAAGUUUGAUGACACAAAUAUUUCACCAAGAUAGGUGCUUUCUGACUCAAGUGAAUUUAGUGUAGUAUGUGUUAAACAAAAUAUCUGAGCAGUAGUAAAUUGUAAUAGAUAGGAUCGGUCCCUGCUGUCACGUUACAAAGCAACAUAGGAGUUCUUACCCCUGACCUCUUGCCCUGUAGAUUAGUUUGCCAGGAUACACAGCAGACCACCUCUCCCACUGACAUCUUGCCCAUGCAUCUACAAGUACACUUUCACCCUUCCCCUCCUCACUUCUCCUAAACAAAUCCCUUUGUGAUGAGUAAAGACCCCAACUUGAUCACAAUCCUGUCUUGGUGUCUGUUCUCGUAUCCCCUUGUCCUCUGUCUUUCUCCUAGGUGUCUACCAGACCAACUUGAAUGCCCUGCUGGUUAGGGCAGUUUUGGUGCUCAUGAUGGCCUCAUGUUGGAUACCCAGGAGUGACAUGCCUGAGUGAAGGGCCCAUCCAGAGUGUCCUCCAGGGGACAGCACAUUCUUCAUUUCAGUGACCCACCGAAAAGCACAAGACGACGAGGUGGUGGUGAGCAAUGGCCGAGAUCGUACCUCCAAUAUAAGUGAUGGGACAGGGAAUUUGUUGACAUAGUGUCUUUAUUUCCAGGCUCAAGGGAGCCCUCAGGAUACGAGGAAUCAGGGAUAAAAAGAAGGAUCUUGUACAAUUCUUACGUGAAACAUGGGUAAAAAAUAAAGAUAUAAAGAGGUUGUAACUUA